UCCCCUGUAGCUCAGUUGGUAGAGCAGGUGGCUGUUAACCACCUUGUCACAGGUUCGAGUCCUGUCGGGGGAG
rnacentral:tRNA from 4 species